rnacentral:rRNA from 1 species
AUCCGGGUUGCGGACAGUGUCUGGUGGGUAGUUUGACUGGGGCGGUCUCCUCCCAAAGAGUAACGGAGGAGCACGAAGGUUAGCUAAUCCUGGUCGGACAUCAGGAGGUUAGUGCAAUGGCAUAAGCUAGCUUGACUGCGAGAGUGACGGCUCGAGCAGGUGCGAAAGCAGGUCAUAGUGAUCCGGUGGUUCUGAAUGGAAGGGCCAUCGCUCAACGGAUAAAAGGUACUCCGGGGAUAACAGGCUGAUACCGCCCAAGAGUUCAUAUCGACGGCGGUGUUUGGCACCUCGAUGUCGGCUCAUCACAUCCUGGGGCUGAAGUAGGUCCCAAGGGUAUGGCUGUUCGCCAUUUAAAGUGGUACGCGAGCUGGGUUUAGAACGUCGUGAGACAGUUCGGUCCCUAUCUGCCGUGGGCGCUGGAGAAUUGAGGGGGGCUGCUCCUAGUACGAGAGGACCGGAGUGGACGCAUCACUGGUGUUCGGGUUGUCAUGCCAAUGGCACUGCCCGGUAGCUAAAUGCGGAAAAGAUAAGUGCUGAAAGCAUCUAAGCACGAAACUUGCCCCGAGAUGAGUUCUCCCUGAC